CAGCAGUAGCCGCGGGAAUACGUAGGUGGCAAGCGUUGUCCGGAAUUAUUGGGCGUAAAGGGCUCGCAGGCGGUUUCUUAUGUCUGAUGUGAAAGCCCCCGGCUCAACCAGGGAGGGUCAUUGGAAACUGGGAAACUUGAGUGCAGAAGAGGAGAGUGGAAUUCCACGUGUAGCGGUGAAAUGCGUAGAGAUGUGGAGGAACACCAGUGGCGAAGGCGACUCUCUGGUCUGUAACUGACGCUGAGGAGCGAAAGCGUGGGGAGCGAACAGGAUUAGAUACCCCAGUAGUCCCUGUCUCUUAUAA
rnacentral:rRNA from 1 species